UACGUAGGGGGCAAGCGUUGUCCGGAAUCAUUGGGCGUAAAGAGCGUGUAGGCGGCCCGAUAAGUCCGCUGUGAAAGUCGGGGGCUCAACCCUCGAAAGCCGGUGGAAACUGUUGGGCUAGAGUACGGAAGAGGCGAGUGGAAUUCCUGGUGUAGCGGUGAAAUGCGCAGAUAUCAGGAGGAACACCAAUUGCGAAGGCAGCUCGCUGGGACGUUACUGACGCUG
rnacentral:rRNA from 1 species